AUUGAACGCUGGCGGCAUGCCUUACACAUGCAAGUCGAACGGCAGCACGGGAGCAAUCCUGGUGGCGAGUGGCGAACGGGUGAGUAAUAUAUCGGAACGUGCCCAGUCGUGGGGAUAACGUAGCGAAAGCUACGCUAAUACCGCAUACGAUCUAUGGAUGAAAGCGGGGGAUCGCAAGACCUCGCGCGAUUGGAGCGGCCGAUAUCAGAUUAGGUAGUUGGUGAGGUAAAGGCUCACCAAGCCGACGAUCUGUAGCUGGUCUGAGAGGACGACCAGCCACACUGGGACUGAGACACGGCCCAGACUCCUACGGGAGGCAGCAGUGGGGAAUAUUGGACAAUGGGCGAAAGCCUGAUCCAGCAAUGCCGCGUGAGUGAUGAAGGCCUUAGGGUUGUAAAGCUCUUUUACCCGAGAUGAUAAUGACAGUAUCGGGAGAAUAAGCUCCGGCUAACUCCGUGCCAGCAGCCG
rnacentral:rRNA from 1 species